AUAUGCUACAAGAGGAGAAUGAGGUUAUAUUAGAAAAGGUGGCGCUCUUCUGGCCUAACAAAGUUGGGUUUAAACUCAAAUUAUGUGAUAUUUAACAUAUCUGCUUGAUUAUAUUGACAUUUAAGAGUUGUAGAGGAAAAAUGCCAAUAAGUGGAGGCCAGAGUUAGGGAGCUUGAUAAAUAGGUUGCUUCUCUUAAAAAAGGUGUAUCCCUAGAAACCAAACUUCUGAGCAGAUUGAACCUAUUCACAAUCUUUUUGCUGCUCUUUUCCUAGCCAACAUUGGAACGUUGAUUCAUGUUCAUUUUCUCUGGAACCAUGUUGACAUUCUGGUAGUAUCUGAAACUCGUGUUCAUUUUCUCUGGAACUAUGUUGAUUCAUGUUCAUUUUCACUUCUCAAUCGUGCUUCUAAUCUUUAUCUAGUUGAGAUUUGUGCUAAAAUGGUUGUGACUAUACUGAUGAAUCCAGUCUUUGAUAGUUUAACGAUUUCUAAUAAAAAAUCAUCCCUGAUGUUUUUAUUAUAUAGUGAUUUUGCUUUAUCCAUUGAACCCAAAAAGGUAGAAAUGGUGAUAUAGAUUGAUACUUAAUUAUUACCAGCCAAUAGAAAUUCUGAUAUUUUAUUAAUUUCAGGAUAAACUAUAUUUGCUGCUUCUUGGGACAACAACUCUUAGUCUGGUACGAAACAUUUUUAUAUAUUUGAAUUAACAGCUACAGGAAUCCGUAACUAAUCCAUAAUUGGAGGUUAUAGUCUUGCAGAUUUUAAAAUGCUGUGAACAUGGCAAUAUGCACAUAUAGCUGAUAAACUUGGUGCAAAGAAAUGGAUAGGACAAUAAAAACUUCUCUGUCUUUCAAAGAGAUUGUUCUUUCAUUAAAAAGAAAGUUUGAAUUGAAUGUCAAUGUUAGACAAGUUUUGAUGUGGGAAAAAAAUAAUCUAUUCUUCAAUAUUGAAGUUUACCAAGACCAAAUAUUUAAGUUUGAAAAGCAUAAAGUAUAUCAUAAGCUGCCAUCAGUUUCAAUGCUUUGAAUUCAAUGAUACUGCUAUUAAUUUAUUAUAAAUGCAUAAUCCCAUCAAUAAUUUCUCAACUAAUUUCUGCAGGUAACAACUCCUUUACUUUGCUAAUAUGUAGAAACUAUAAUCAGAUAUUCAGUCAUGUUUUGCUAUAUUUGUAAAAGUAGUUGUGUUCAUGCUUGCUACUUGAAUGGUUUGGGUAAAAGAUUGGAUUUGAUAGAAUAAGAGAAUACUAAUGUGGGUGUAAAAUAAUUUUUUAAACUGACAUCUAAUUAGGUGUUUUAUAUAGUUAAAAGCAACUUCUUUUUGAGAUAUUUGGUGUGAAAAUGAAAUAUUUUUUUUCUUUUUUAAUUUAUCUGUAAGAUCUGAUUGGAUGUAAUACAUGUGAAAAUUAAAUUAUUAUUCCCUAAUGUCAUCCAUUUUCAUAUCUUUUUGUUUUGUGUUAAAUUUUUGGAUUAAUUCUUCCCCCGGCCCUGUAUUAGUCAAGGGACAUGUAUUUCUUACAAAAGCUUCUGAAUUUGAAAGGAGAUGAUGGUUUCAGAAUGAAUGAAGUGCUUGUGUCAUUGUGGCACAUAAUGGGUUUGUGGCCCUUAGCCUAUAGCAUGCUGCUACUUCUUAUAGGAAGGAGGUAUUUCACUCUAAAUCUGAUAUUCCCUAAAAAAUUAACAUGGUUUGUUAAUGUUAUUGCACUCUAAUUGCAAUGUUAAUUCUGUUAUUACUUUGCAUACUCUUGCAAUGUUGACUAUGAUGUUUUACAGCUCAAAAAGUAAAGUUCCUGUUUAGCCCUUCCUUUUACUUUCAUGUUUUGGCGGUGCAUAUGCACUUCUUCCUUAUUUCAUACUUUAGAAUCCACCAGCACCUCCAAUUGAAGAAAUUGAGCUUAAAUCAUGGCCAUUGAUCUUUCUUGAAUCAAAAGUAACUGCAGUGAUCAGAUAUAGUAAGGUAGACAUCCUUUGCUCAGAAAGUGGGAAGCAGCAAAUAAUUUUGAUGGACCAAGAAUCUCAAGAAGAAAGUAUAUUGCCACAAUUACUAAGAAACUCAAGAAAGAAUGAAGCUAACCAUAAAUUAUGAUAUUGAAUCUUGAUGAGUCCACUAGUAGUUACUUGUCAUCUAAUGUAUUCAGAUUGUAUUAUUGCAUGGAAACAAUUGCUUCUUAUUAUAAAGAAAGCACUUUGUAACCACUCAUGUGUUUUUCUAUUUGUACCAUCAAUAAAAAUUUGUAUUUAUUAAA